rfam:Roseburia sp. 40_7 Ley3_66761_scaffold_3672, whole genome shotgun sequence.
UUUGGGAGGAAAUUAGAGGUUCUUAGUGCCCUUGUCACAAAACAGCGUUUUGCUGCCACGGAUGGCAGCAAAAAUCCCCGUCGAGCCAUGGAAGGCUCGUCCGGGGAUGCACGCGUCACUCUGCCACAACCCAGAUCAAGGGCACUUAGAACCUCUUAUUUCCGUACAAC